rnacentral:rRNA from 1 species
UACGUAGGGGGCAAGCGUUGUCCGGAUUUACUGGGUGUAAAGGGAGCGUAGACGGAAUUGCAAGUCUGAUGUGAAAAUCCGGGGCCCAACCCCGGAACUGCAUUGGAAACUGGUAGACUUGAGUGCAGGAGAGGAGAGUGGAAUUCCAUGUGUAGCGGUGAAAUGCGUAGAUAUAUGGAGGAACACCGGUGGCGAAAGCGGCUCUCUGGCCUGUAACUGACACUGAGGCUCGAAAGCGUGGGGAGCAAACAGG